rnacentral:rRNA from 1 species
GAUGAACGCUGGCGGCGUGCCUAAUACAUGCAAGUCGAGCGAACAGACGAGGAGCUUGCUCCUCUGACGUUAGCGGCGGACGGGUGAGUAACACGUGGAUAACCUACCUAUAAGACUGGGAUAACUUCGGGAAACCGGAGCUAAUACCGGAUAAUAUAUUGAACCGCAUGGUUCAAUAGUGAAAGACGGUUUUGCUGUCACUUAUAGAUGGAUCCGCGCCGCAUUAGCUAGUUGGUAAGGUAACGGCUUACCAAGGCAACGAUGCGUAGCCGACCUGAGAGGGUGAUCGGCCACACUGGAACUGAGACACGGUCCAGACUCCGACGGGAGGCAGCAAUAGGGAAUCUUCCGCUAUGGGCGAAAGCCUGACGGAGCAACGCCGCGUGAGUGAUGAAGGUCUUCGGAUCGUAAAACUCUGUUAUUAGGGAAGAACAAAUGUGUAAGUAACUAUGCACGUCUGGACGGUACCUAAUCAGAAAGCCACGGCUAACUACGU